rnacentral:rRNA from 1 species
AACGAACGCUGGCGGCAUGCCCAACACAUGCAAGUCGAACGAGAUCUUCGGGUCUAGUGGCGCACGGGUCCGUAACGCGUGGGAAUCUGCCCUUUGGUUUGGAAUAACAGUUGGAAACGACUGCUAAUACCGGAUGAUGACGAAAGUCAAAAGAUUUAUCGCCAGGGGAUGAGUCCGCGUAGGAUUAGCUAGUUGGUCUGGUAAAGGCGAACCAAGGCGACGAUCCUUAGAUGGUAUGAGGGGAUGAUCAGCCACACUGGGACUGAGACACGGCCCAGACUCCUACGGGAGGCAGCAGUGGGGAAUAUUGGACAAUGGGCGAAAGCCUGAUCCAGCAAUGCCGCGUGAGUGAUGAAGGCCUUAGGGUUGUAAAGCUCUUUUACCCGGGAUGAUAAUGACAGUACCGGGAGAAUAAGCUCCGGCUAACUCCGUGCCAGCCGCCGCCGUAA